GAAACCAUCGAAACCCAACGAGCUAAAGAAGUUUCCGAUCUGCAGAGUGAGGUAAAAUAUAAAGAAGGCGUGAAGGAAAAGAUUCAGAGCAGUUUGUACCAUCGGCUGCCUGAAACCACCGAGACACAGCUGGCUAAACAUCUAUCUGAGCUACAGAGUCAGACAAAGUACAGGGAAGCCGGUUUGAAGGAGGUGAGUUCCUGUUUGUACUCUCAGCUGCCCAACACCAUGG